UACGUAGGGACCGAGCGUUGUCCGGAAUCAUUGGGCGUAAAGAGCGUGUAGGCGGCUUGCUAAGUCUUGCGUGAAAUCUCGGGGCUCAACCCCGAGCGGUCGUGGGAAACUGGCAGGCUAGAGUGCGGGAGAGGAGAAUGGAAUUCCUGGUGUAGCGGUGAAAUGCGCAGAUAUCGAGAGGAACACCGGUGGCGAAGGCGGCAUCCUGGACCGACACUGACGCUGAGGCGCGAAAGCUAGGGUAGCAAACGGG
rnacentral:rRNA from 1 species